CAGUUUUAACCAUGAUACUGAACCUUCGGGGUUACAUAUGAAAAUGGUACUUUUUUGAUUAAAGAAAACUAUCAAAUUUUCAAAAAUUACUGCUGAAUGUAAUUUUAGUCAACUAAACAUUAAUUUAACUCAGUCAGACUACACAUUUUGCGUGCCGUGCGCAUUUUCUGAUUCAAACUGUUUUUUUUUGGUUUUAUGGUAGAGACGUAGCAUAAUGUUACUCUCGGGUGAAAUAAAUUAAUUCUCUCGGCAUUAUGAUGUCGGCCUACAGUGUAACUCAAGAAAAAGAGGGUGUCAACCAAAAAUAUUACUAUAUCCGAUUCCUAAAGGAAAAGACCGUGCAUAUAUAUAUACACACACAUACAAAGUGUUGGGAAAAAUGAAGCAUAAUAACUGGAACUGGUGGAAAACCUAAAAAAAAUUAUGAAUGAAAAUGUAAAUGAAAGAAUUCGCUAGACGGAAUAUUUACGUUACCGCCAAAUAGAGCAAUCACGUUGUGGGUGAAUAAAGCUUAUAGUACGUGAAGUAAAACAACAGGAAAUACAAAGAUAGCUCACUUCAAUACGAGGGUCGAUAGUGAUUAACACUCAUGGCUCAGUUGUAGGCCUGCUGUUGAACUGAGCAGUCAUCACGUGGCAGUCGGACACCAGCAAGAAAUGGUACGUCACAUGAACUUCACGUUUCUCGAGUGCUCUGAUUCGUAUUUAAUUCUAGGUGUUUGUGGUAACCAGACCUGUGGUGUAGCCAGGGCUGAUGCAGAAAGAUUUCCAACACGCCGCUAUCCAGACAGUAGUAUGUUACACCGGCUGGACUGUUCUGUAACAGAUUCAAAAAUAUAGAAAUUUAUGUCAGCAAAGUUUGUUUCAUUAUUAUUACAAUAGUCAACUACUGUCCAUCUUCAAAUACAACGUACGAUUCACUCCAAACACGUCAAUAGCGACCCAGACGGCGUAGUGUUUCUCCUUCUUAAAAUCGACGUAGAUCAUGGAUUCAUCGCUUUAGAUGAAUCUGAAUGGAUAUAUUUAAGAAGUGAAAAGACGUAACAUCCCUAGUUGUACGAAUUGAGAUCUUUACGGCGAUGAAGUUCGUCUUCUGGGAUUUGGCUCUGAAGAUGGAGACAAUACGUUUCUACUAAACGUCUGUAUCUACCGACCGUCCAAGGCCUGGACAUGUUGCAGACAAACGACCUCGCACACUGAACGCGACACGAUGAUGACAGGCCGAUAAUGUGACACCCUAACGUACUGUGCCGUCUUUCACUCAAUCGCGAACAUUUCGGCACCGAAGAUAACUUUGCGGAGUUUUGUAGUACGUAUUUAUGCACCAUAAGUGAUAUACCUUAACUCCAGUCAUUUCUUUGAACUUGUUUUUGUCAUAUUUUAAAAUAAUUUAGGUCUGUUAAUGCUCUGAU